GUAGGGCGCAAGCGUUGUCCGGAAUUAUUGGGCGUAAAGAGCUCGUAGGCGGCUUGUCACGUCGGUUGUGAAAGCCCGGGGCUUAACCCCGGGUCUGCAGUCGAUACGGGCAGGCUAGAGUUCGGUAGGGGAGAUCGGAAUUCCUGGUGUAGCGGUGAAAUGCGCAGAUAUCAGGAGGAACACCGGUGGCGAAGGCGGAUCUCUGGGCCGAUACUGACGCUGAGGAGCGAAAGCGUGGGGAGCGAACAGGAUUAGAUACCCUGGUAGUCCACGCCGUAAACGGUGGGCACUAGGUGUGGGCAACAUUCCACGUUGUCCGUGCCGCAGCUAACGCA
rnacentral:rRNA from 1 species